rnacentral:lncRNA from 1 species
GUUUUAUUAUCGCCAUUGCAUUGUUUACCCUUCAAAUAAGUUCUAAAAAUUUGUUUUCCAUUUUGGUUUUUGUUCUACUUAAUUACGAGUACGUCCUAUAAUCUUAAUCGAACACUCAACUGGGAGUGGAACCAACUUUGGCAGUGCGCCCAGUUAUCUACUUUGAAUAUCAGUUAGAUUUAGAAUUAUUUAUGUAUACGUAUACGUACGUAACUACAAUAGUUCCGUUCACCACCCAUUAACACUUAUAUUGCAGUAAAAGUAGGUUCAUAGCAUAUAUUCGCAUAGAUCAUUUUGUUUGAAAUCUCUAUGUACAAAGUCAGCCUUGAUUGCUUUUCUUUUGAGUUGCUUUGAGUUUGUUGCUGCUUGAGGUAAAGAAAGAGAUCGGUUCUGUGUGGUAUGUAUUUAUUACGUAGUAGACUCGCAGUGAAAUCAGCUACCUAGGCGGUGUCCAACAGAUAGAGUGAUAUAUGUACGUACGUUACCUAACUAACUAACAUUUUGCCUCUACGCCACUACGCUACACAAAACACCUGCUGUUGCACCUUAUCCCUUAUUUCUAGCCUAAGGUUGAACAUAUUUUGGGUAUGGUAUGGAUUAGGCCGCUAUCACUAAAAAUAUUAACACAAUCGUCGGUAUUUUGUGCGUUUUAAUCAAGUUAUAAUUCUCUUAGUUUGGAUGUGUGUAUCGGUUGUUCUGUUUUUUUGUCUUAAGGCUUCAUGCUUAGGGUUCUCUCUCAUGCACAACCCUAAACAGUCAUUCACACUUACGAGUAUUUAUCAAGUAUAAUUUAUUAUUUCUAACAUCUUUGAAUGUGAUGUGCAGCAGAUAUUAUGGGUAUAAAUUGAUUGAGCAUUGUAAUGGCAUGAUUGUAAUACUCGUACUCCCUCAAACACUUAAGGCUAUUCUAUUUCCCCAACUUGCUCUUAUGUUGACCUAAAAUUACGUACAUUACAUUCUUGUAAUCCAGUUUUGUUGUUGUUGUUGGGUGUGGAUGUUGUUGAGACUUGACAUUCGCUGACGC